rnacentral:rRNA from 1 species
GACGAACGCUGGCGGCGUGCUUAACACAUGCAAGUCGAACGGAAAGGCCCUGCUUUUGUGGGGUGCUCGAGUGGCGAACGGGUGAGUAACACGUGAGUAACCUGCCCUUGACUUUGGGAUAACUUCAGGAAACUGGGGCUAAUACCGGAUAGGAGCUCCUGCUGCAUGGUGGGGGUUGGAAAGUUUCGGCGGUUGGGGAUGGACUCGCGGCUUAUCAGCUUGUUGGUGGGGUAGUGGCUUACCAAGUCUUUGACGGGUAGCCGGCCUGAGAGGGUGACCGGCCACAUUGGGCCUGAGAUACGGCACAGACUCCUACGGGAGGCAGCAGUGGGGAAUAUUGCACAAUGGGCGGAAGCCUGAUGCAGCAACGCCGCGUGCGGGAUGACGGCCUUCGGGUUGUAAACCGCUUUCGCCUGUGACGAAGCGUGAGUGACGGUAAUGGGUAAAGAAGCACCGGCUAACUACGUG